AGCGAACGCUGGCGGCAGGCCUAACACGUGCAAGUCGAACGGAUCCUUCGGGAUUAGUGGCGGACGGGUGAGUAACACGUGGGAACGUGCCCUUUGGUUCGGAACAACUCAGGGAAACUUGAGCUAAUACCGGAUGUGCCCUUCGGGGGAAAGAUUUAUCGCCAUUGGAGCGGCCCGCGUCUGAUUAGCUAGUUGGUGAGGUAAAGGCUCACCAAGGCGACGAUCAGUAGCUGGUCUGAGAGGAUGAUCAGCCACAUUGGGACUGAGACACGGCCCAAACUCCUACGGGAGGCAGCAGUGGGGAAUCUUGCGCAAUGGGCGAAAGCCUGACGCAGCCAUGCCGCGUGAAUGAUGAAGGUCUUAGGAUUGUAAAAUUCUUUCACCGGGGACGAUAAUGACGGUACCCGGAGAAGAAGCCCCGGCUAACUUCGUGCCAGCAGCCGCCGUAAAAC
rnacentral:rRNA from 1 species